CUGCUGUGAUGACUACUUAGGACACCUUUGGAAAACCCAUGAAAAGAACUUACAAGAUCCUGAGCUGC